CUGCUAUAGCACCAAAACAUUGGCCUGUUAAAAAUCACAGAAAUCAGACAGUUUAGAUUCUGGCCAUAUUUUUUUUUCGGUUAGACAUGGGGUUAGGUCUGUACAACAAACCACUAUGCAGGCUUCUGGUGCAGUUUCUGCCCUAAACAAAAGCAGGUUGUACCCAUACUUCCUGACUUCACCAUCCUUGGCCAUGCACUAAGAUACCUUCCUCCCUCUUCCUCUCCCCCUCCCCUUUCCUUUCCCAAAAGUAAUAAUGAAAAUAGCAGGUAGCACUUAUCCGUCUGGAACUGAGUAUUAUACACUGAUGGGGCCACCUGAGGUCUGCCAAAGCCCUCAGAAAGCUCAGAGGACAUCCAUCAGUAAAGACAGUGUCUAUUGCAGACUGCUCCAGAGUCUCCACACCAGGAGCUACUUGCCUCAACUCCUCAGAGAAAGUGAAGUCUCCUUUCCCUAUGAUUAUUCCAGCAGCAGGCAAAUGAGUGAGGACAACUGACUUGAUAUUAAUGGCAGCAGCAAGUACUUCAUCAGAUUCUUUGUAAAAGAGGGAAACAGGACUUUUUGCAUUCUUUAUAAAUAAACAGCAUAACAUCAGAGAAAUGCAUAUCUAUCUCAUUAGUUUCUCCUCCAAGAACUGACUACUCGCAGUAAAAUAGAUACGGAUGUUGUCAGAAGACAGGUGUCUGCCUUACUUCUAGAAGAAUUGUGCUAUUAAAGUCCUUAAAAAAAGAGGUGAAUGAGACAUCCCAGCACGACCCGGCUAUGGAACUGGAAAACACCAUUUGCCGUAGGCGGCCAGGUACAUACAUAUAUAGGAAGCUACCAAAGCACUGAAGCCCAGUUGUGAAAAGCCAACUUCAAAGAACAUCAUUAUGGACAACCACCAGGCAGUCUUCUAUAGGUUGGUCGUCUGGCUUCAGUUUCUUCACUUCAUCCUGGUGUCUGGCCACAACUUCAGUAUCUGCAAACAUGGAGAAAUAAAAGACAAGUAUAUAUCCAUCCUCGUGCGCGACUUAGAAACAUACCCGGGUAAAAAGGUGAUGUUUUUUUCCUCGUGUCCAACCAAAUCGAUGAUACAGUUGCUGCUGCUACAUCUCUGCCUGCCCUUAAUGGUGCUCGAAAGAUAGUUUGGAGAAUAUUUACUGGUAAAUCUAGGUCUUGAAUAGCUUGGUAAAUGGUUUUUGCCCAACAGCUUUUGGAAGGGAAAAUUUACCCCUCGUUUUCCAGGGGAACCUGAAGCCUGAAUUCAGGAUACCCUUGUAACUUGCAGUGGAUGAGAAAAGGUGAAACAAGGACACAGUCCUUCCAACCAAGAUAAAUCUGACGGUGUAUUCCAUUCAAUAUUAAUAUGCAACAGUAAUCUGCAUGAUAGGAUGUAAGUGGGAUAUGACAUGUGUACUGUGCAUGUGUCCAUACACACACCUACCACGGAAGACUUUUUUCUUCAAGCUAAGCAUGUCAGUAGAUUGCUCUGGACAGGGACUUGUCAGAUAACUUAGAACAUUUGAGAUAAGUCUUCCAGGUACCAGGUAUGGGAAGAAAAUUCAAUAGCUCAUAAAAACUUUGCAAUCCUUAUAACCAAUUUAUACCAUAAAUGCAAAAGCCAACAAUGCUGGAGAAAGUUCCUUUUUGCUAAAUAAAGUUGCCUGGUGUGAUCGUCUGGUUAUAUGCGAACUGCUGUUAUUUUCUCUCUCUGUUUCUAGGAUCAAGAUUAUCAUGACUGCGAAGUCGGUGUGAGUGUUAUUUCAUUGCUCUUCGAACCCAUGAAAUGAUGCUUAGGGAAAUCUGAAGGGGCUUCGGGACUUCCCGUGGUAGAGCAGGCAAAGCUUGGAGCUCAGUUCACAGAGCCCAACAAUAAUGAAGUGGUUUGGGGUUGAUACAAAUAUAAAACUUGCUGGGGAGGGAGAGGCGGAGAUUAAGAUAUUUUAAACAGAAAACCAUGAACACGUGCGGGUUGAUAGCUCAGCGUGUUUCGCUCCUUCUCUUCACUGCUUUUCAAAGGUGCUGAAAAGGAAACGGUCCAUGGUAGAUAGGGAUGUGUAGCUCUUUCAGGCAGUUUCUUAGAAAGAGCAAGGAUUUGCUGAGAAAGGUGUAACGGGUGCCAUCUAUCGGCUGUUAACCUCAGCUGACCGAUCGCGAUCACGUUGUCUCCGCGUACCAGAACGAAAACCUGUUGCGGUGCAUACACAACGUUACCAGGCGCUGCAUCUGCAUGCAGUAUAAACGCAUCUGGCAGGACACUCGUGAGCUUCUGAACGAAAAUUGCAAAAGCUACGACCCUUUGCAGGUAAGAACAGAGCACAGAGCUCCCCGGGUUGGGGGGUGGGUACCCCCCCUUUUUUUUAAUCUUCUAAAGCAAAAUUUGAGUGUAUUGUGCACGGGUGAGACGGCUUCCUUUGCUUUGGGAACGCUUAAGACGCUUGCUACUUUAUGUUUCUUUGAAAGCCAGAGGUGAGGUCUCUACUGAUGAUGAAUUUUAAAGGUGAUCAAAACAGGCAAAGCAAGUAUUUGUCACUAGAUAUUUCCUGGGGGUAGAGGGAAGACAGAUUGGUGCAUACGUGAUUGAUUCUUGUCCUCGCCCCUCCAAGGAAGUUCAUCCUGCCUCAGACACUGGUUGGCUCAAAGCUGCAUCCUACCUCUCUAGUCCGUCUGCUCAGACCGGACCUGGGAUUCACCUCUGGGGUGGUUCUAGCCGUGAUAUCAGCUGUGGAAGUUCCUGCAUCAGCGUGCUUAGGUGCAAGGCUCUUUACUACUAUAAAACUAGGGUAAAAAAAUACCUGAAUGCAUCUAAGCUACGCUACAGCUCCUGUUGAUGAUGGGGCAGAGUUUCUCUUCACUUUUUGCCAGUGCAGACUAGCAGCCAGGGUGCUGGGCAUUGGCUUGGGAUAGAGGAAUAAUACUUAUCUCUUCUGGUGCAGCAGAACUGUUCUUGGUGGCUGCCAAGGGACCCUCCAAUAUCAUAGGAGCAAAUUCUGUUCCCUAUUACAUUAGGUGAUGUGCAGGCCAUAAAGAGCAGCCUGACUUUCUGAGUCCAGGUCCCCUUUUUAGGGCUGUAAAUUGGGGAAUAGGGGUGGGAGAAAGAGAAUCUCCUUUAUCUUAAACCAAGUCAAUCUGACCAGAGGGCAGUGCCUCGGAUCAAACCAGUAACGUGUGGUUAGAACCUAAAAGGUAAUUUACUGAUAUAUGGUCUCAUGGUCCACAGGAUCCUGGAUGUCUCAAACCUGUUGCUCGGAAAAGAAGGGCCCCUGGCUCCUGUAAUAAAGAACUUGCAGAAUUAAGGUCAUUAUGGAGAAGUUACAUGAAUCUCGAGGACACGGU